rnacentral:misc_RNA from 1 species
AUCCACUAAUGGUUGUGGAACAUCAUGAAUGUCACGAAAUCACAAGUUUUACGUAACGUAAGUGAAGUCCCAUCAGUGCUGGCAUUUUCUCAAACUGCCCCUGACGCAGGUGGUUUCGGCGGAUGCAUGAGCAUACUUUUAAGAUGGAAGGGCAGCAUUUACAAGACAAUAUGGAAAGAUUUGUUGGUCUACUACGGACUCUAUUAUUUGAUUACAAUCAUACACAACUAUGUUCUCGAUGAGGACGGGAAAAGAGCAUUUGUGGCAUUGGCGAAAUAUUGCUUGAGAAAUUCUAAUUCUAUUAACGUGAUGAUCAUGUUAACGUUCUUUACGACAACGGCCUUGCAUCGUCUCUUUGCCAUGCAGACAAUGAUUCCUGGGACGGCCAAAGUUAUUACAUUUUUUGUCCUGUCACUCAAGCCAAAUUUGCCUGAAGGUCCAAUCGUCGUGGAACAAUUUGCUCGUUGGACGGUGCUGGCAUGGAUACUAACUUUUCGUGUCGUGAGCAAACCAUUACGUACGAUGUUUCCUGACAUCAUUUCACUCCAAGUAGCCGGAAUUAUCAAAGAGAAAGAAAGAUUGCUUUUAGAGAGAGUGGAAACUGAACGUAAUAAGACUCCACGCGCUUUAAUGGUCAUUGACUGGAUGCUUUUAUUAAUGAAAGAAUCUUCAGUACACAACCGAUUUGCAGAGAAAUCUAAUUACCUUAAAGCUGUUGAAGUGCUUAUGACCUUUAAGAAAGGCUGCGGCAACACAAUUAAAUUUGCAACAAAGAACAUGCCUUACGCCCUCAUUCAGGCUGUAAUAAUUGUGGUGUACACUUACGGCUUAGUAACGUUAAUUGCUCGUAAUGUUGAAGAGGCAAGUAGCUGUGUCUUUGUGGAAGUAAUCGUUAAUUACAUCCCAAUAAUCCCUAGUAUGCAGUUUUUUGUCUUCCUCGUUUGGCUUAAUUUUGGUCGAGUCGCCGUGAAUCCGUUUGGAACUGAUGAUGACGACAUUGACGUCACACUUUUAUUUAAAACUCAUGUCCAGGAUUCUUUUCGUUUGGCGAGUCUCUAUUCUCAGGAUUUGGAACAAAUCUUUGGCCAAAUGCCUCAACACCAACAUAAUCAAGAACCGUCACUCCAAAGUGCUGCCCCUAUGCAAAACCAGUAGACAAUUUUGUGGAGUAAAUGCAGGACGGGCUUUUAAUAUGUACAUAAAGUAACGUGGAAAAAAAGUGGUGGCCCUCAGAAUUUGUUUGCGUGUUAAUUUAUGGCCGCCAAACAUUCGUGACAACUGCUGACAAAGAUGUUAACCUUCAUCCCGCACGCCUCGUUAGAAGACGGUGUCCUCGAGGUAGCAAAAAAAUGUUCAACACUGAGCUGCUAAAAAAUCGAAGUGUCCGAAGAAAGGGGCACUAUUAAUAUUAUCCAUCUGAUUCUUUAUGUUUUUGUUCUUCUAAAAGUUUUUAACAUAUCUGGAGAGAGGGGUGGGCACAAGCUUUCAGGCAGAUCCUACUAUCCUUUCACUGCACUUCCUUCUAAAGUCACCCUUUUACGUCUCUCUUGUACCGUGUUCUGACAUCUGUUUAAAAAUAUGUAUAUUUAAUACAAUUCCAAUUUAUAGUGUCA